rnacentral:rRNA from 1 species
GACGAACGCUGGCGGCGUGCUUAACACAUGCAAGUCGAACGGAAAGGCCCUGCUUUUGUGGGGUGCUCGAGUGGCGAACGGGUGAGUAACACGUGAGUAACCUGCCCUUGACUUUGGGAUAACUUCAGGAAACUGGGGCUAAUACCGGAUAGGAGCUCCUGCUGCAUGGUGGGGGUUGGAAAGUUUCGGCGGUUGGGGAUGGACUCGCGGCUUAUCAGCUUGUUGGUGGGGUAGUGGCUUACCAAGGCUUUGACGGGUAGCCGGCCUGAGAGGGUGACCGGCUACAUUGGGACUGAGAUACGGCCCAGACUCCUACGGGAGGCAGCAGUGGGGAAUAUUGCACAAUGGGCCGAAGCCUGAUGCAGCAACGCCGCGUGCGGGAUGACGGCCCUCGGGUUGUAAACCGCUUUCGCCUGUGACGAAGCGUGAGUGACGGUAAUGGGUAAAGAAGCACCGGCUAACUACGU